rnacentral:lncRNA from 1 species
GGUGUCAACAGGUCCCGGUCUAGGCCUUACUGUAGGGUGUCAACAGGUCCCGGUCUAGGCUUACUUGUAGGGUGUCACACGUCCCGGUCUAGGCCUUACUGUAGGGUGUCAACAGGUCUAGGCCUUACUGUAGGGUGUCAACGGUCCCGGUCUAGGCCUUACUGUAGGGUGUCAACAGGUCCCCGGUCAGGCCUUACUGUAGGGUGUCAACAGUCCCGGUCUAGGCCUUACUGUAGGGUGUCAACAGGUCCCGGUCUAGGCCUACUGUAGGGUGCAACAGGUCCCGGUCUAGGCCUUACUGGAGGGUGUCAACAGGUCCCGGUCUAGGCUUACUGUAGGGUGUCAACAGGUCCCGGCCUAGGCCUUACUGUAGGGUGUCAACAGGUCCGGUCUAGGCCUUACUGUAGGUGUCAACAGGUCCCGGUCUAGGCCUUACUGUAGGGGUGCAACAGGUCCCGGUCUAGGCUUACGGGAGGGUGUCAACAGGUCCCAGCCUGCCAGGACUCACUCCGUCUUAUACAAACAAACAAAAAUUCUCCUGUUUAUUAAAAACCAAAUAAAUCUGUGAUCAUGAAUAGUUUGUUUGCUGUGUUUUUAUUAUGGUGGUGGGAUCAGCUUGUUUUAAGCUGACAUUGAAUGGUUCAGAUACUGUGUGUUUGUCUGAAUUGGCACCCUAUUCCCGAUAU